ACCGGGCGUCGUGGCGGGCGUCUGUGAGUCAGCUUCUUGACGGUAGAUAAGUGUGGAUGGAGUGAAGGGAGGAGUCCUGUGGGUGUUGUCGGCAACGGCGACCGAGCGUCCGCGCCAAGCGCCACGUCGCCAGGGGUCACUCGUCGGAAGACGUUGGUGGUCCCGGGCGCAUAAGGAGUGGUGCACGGCUCAGGGCCGAAAGGCAGCAGGCAAAAGCCACCGCGCGGUGCAGUGGCCGGAUAGCGCUUGUGAGUUGUCGCUCGCCCACAGCCUUCCUGAUACCUUCAGACCGCUUGUCAU
rnacentral:SRP_RNA from 1 species